rnacentral:lncRNA from 1 species
ACCUGAAGUCCUUACAGCUGCAUCGUUGAAGCGCUUGUAUGUUGAAAAUAGGCCAUAUUUGGUUGGUGGCCACAGCCAACAUGAGCAAUUGAGUGAUACAUUAUCUUCCUCAUUUGCUGGUUCCAAAUACACCGUUGACCUUCAAAAGCUAAAGUGUUCGUUGCUUGCAUCUUCCUCAUUUUCUGGUUCCAAAUACACCGUUGACCUUCAAAAGCUAAAGUGUUCAUUGCUUGAUGUAUCAAGGAGCAUACUUUCCAUGGUUGAGAAAUACAACUACAUGAAAGAAACCUUUAGAAAAAGGCUGGCAUUUGG